UACGUAGGGUGCAAGCGUUGUCCGGAAUUAUUGGGCGUAAAGAGCUCGUAGGUGGUUUGUUACGUCUGCUGUGAAAACCUAGGGCUUAACCCUGGGCUUGCAGUGGAUACGGGCAGACUAGAGGUAGGUAGGGGAGAAUGGAAUUCCUGGUGUAGCGGUGAAAUGCGCAGAUAUCAGGAGGAACACCGGUGGCGAAGGCGGCGCUCUGGGCCGGUACUGACGCUGAGGAGCGAAAGCGUGGGGAGCAAACAGG
rnacentral:rRNA from 1 species